AUGGCCUAUGCAAUUCAGUUCCUGGCCAGGAUUGAACAACCGGGGUUGGAAAAGGUCUGGAAGUGCAGAAUGGAAGGCAAGGUUAAAUUCUACAUAUGGCUGCUCUUACAAAACAGAAACUGGACUGCGGAUCGGCUUCGUUCCAGAGGAAGGCCUCACAAUAAAAAAUGCAAAUUAUGCGAUCAGGAAGAGGAAACAGCUAUGCACUUAACUCUGCAGUGCUGUUUCGCCAAGGAGGUGUGGUGUCAACUACAGAGAACGCAUAGCACAAUGUGCGCUGCCGCAUCAUCAGCCUCCUCGAUUGAAGACUGGUGGACUAGGCUCUGCACCGCCCCGGGUGGGCGGGGCAGGGUCCAUGAGGGGAUCACUUGGGCGGCAUACACCGCUUGGAACUUGUGGAAGGAGCGGAAUCGGAGGGUGUUUGAGCAAAAGGAACUAACGGCGAUAGGGGUUUCAGCACUAAUUAAUGAGGAUGUUUCCCUGUACGGAGCAGCGAAGGAGUCUCCUAUAACUACAGAGAUGUAG
rnacentral:rRNA from 1 species